UUAAGUUUCAUGAAAUCAAAACUACAAUUUGAAUUUUCCUACUGUUUUAUUGCAUUUUUAUUUUUUGUUAAAUUAUUCUCAGUCAAUAACUGCAACUUUUAUGAAAUGAAAAUAGUAAACAAAGUACUUUCGCAAAGUCCAAGAAAAAUGUUAAGAAUUGUGACUCGCAAGAAAAUAUCUACAUUGAUAAUGGCUCGAUACUAUGGUACUCAAUAUCAAGUGCAACAUGACCGUAAGAUGAAAGAAUUCUCACUUGGUGAAGGAUCAGAAAAGGCUGUUUUGCAGUAUAAUGAAUUAAAGCCAUCUCUUAUUGAACUUGAACACACUAUAGUUCCUGAAUCCUUACAAGGAAAAGGACUUGGCAAAUUAUUGGCUGAUGCUGCAUUUGAAUAUGCCAUCGACAAAAAUCUUAAAGUAAAAGUUACUUGUGAAUUUAUUCAGAAAUAUCUAGAAAAAUAUCCAAGAUCUGAAUUCAAUAAGAUUUUAUCAGAAUAGCACAAAAUAUCUAAGCAAAAGAAACCAUUUCUUUUGGCAAGCAUUUUUAUGGCGAAUCUCGAACACCUUAUUCAAAAAGAAAGACCAUACAAAACCAGAUUUUUCAAGAAAAACUGAACAAUUUUUAUUUGUUUCUAUCAGAUUUUGAGACCUUUCUGAAUGCUGCAAGAUUAAUCAUUUUCAUUGUAAACUGUUAUAUGAAUUCAAACUCAGUUCCACCUAGUUUGGAUAUAGAAUUUCACAUUUGGUUUCACUUUUUUAAUAAUAAAUCUAUCCAGAGUAAAUUAGUGGAAUUUUUUUUAAUUAUUUUCAGAAUGUCAUUUCACUGUGUGCAGUUACCACCAUGUGAUGGUAAUGAUUUGUUAAAAUAAUGUGCCUAAUCUCUUUUUAUUUGUAGAUAUUUAUGUCCACAUUAGCAAAGACAAAAUAAAAUUGACCUGAAACAAA